GGGUUGUGAGGUUAAGCGACUAAGCGUACACGGUGGAUGCCCUGGCAGUCAGAGGCGAUGAAGGACGUGCUAAUCUGCGAUAAGCGUCGGUGAGGUGAUAUGAACCGUUAUAACCGGCGAUUUCCGAAUGGGGAAACCCAGUGUGAUUCGUCACACUAUCAUUAACUGAAUCCAUAGGUUAAUGAGGCGAACCGGGGGAACUGAAACAUCUAAGUACCCCGAGGAAAAGAAAUCAACCGAGAUUCCCCCAGUAGCGGCGAGCGAACGGGGAGGAGCCCAGAGCCUGAAUCAGUGUGUGUGUUAGUGGAAGCGUCUGGAAAGGCGCGCGAUACAGGGUGACAGCCCCGUACACAAAAAUGCACAUAUUGUGAGCUCGAUGAGUAGGGCGGGACACGUGGUAUCCUGUCUGAAUAUGGGGGGACCAUCCUCCAAGGCUAAAUACUCCUGACUGACCGAUAGUGAACCAGUAC
rnacentral:rRNA from 1 species